rnacentral:rRNA from 1 species
UUGUCGUCAGCUCGUGUCGUGAGAUGUUGGGUUAAGUCCCGCAACGAGCGCAACCCUUAUCUUCAGUAGCCAGCAGGUAAAGCCGGGCACUCUGGAGAGACUGCCGGGGAUAACCCGGAGGAAGGUGGGGAUGACGUCAAAUCAUCAUGCCCCUUAUGAUUUGGGCUACACACGUGCUACAAUGGCGUAAACAGAGGGAAGCGAGCCCGCGAGGGGGAGCAAAUCCCAAAAAUAACGUCCCAGUUCGGAUUGUAGUCUGCAACCCGACUACAUGAAGCUGGAAUCGCUAGUAAUCGCGGAUCAGAAUGCCGCGGUGAAUACGUUCCCGGGUCUUGUACACACCGCCCGUCACACCAUGGGAGUCGGAAAUGCCCGAAGUCUGUGACCUAACCGCAAGGGAGGAGCAGCCGAAGGCAGGUCGGAUGACUGGGGUGAAGUCGUAACAAGGUAGCCGUAUCGGAAGGUGCGGCUGGAUCACCUC